GACGUAGGGGGCCAGCGUUGUUCGGAAUUACUGGGUGUAAAGGGUUCGUAGGCGGUGUGGCAAGUCGGGAGUGAAAUCUCUGGGCUCAACCCAGAGUCUGCUUCCGAAACUGCUGUGCUUGAGUGUGGGAGAGGCGCGUGGAAUUUGCAGGUGUAGCGGUGAAAUGCGUAGAUAUCUGGAGGAACACCGGUGGCGAAGGCGGCAUCCUGGACCGGUAUUUGACGCUGAGGCGCGAAAGCUAGGGAGCGAACGA
rnacentral:rRNA from 1 species